CCUACGGGAGGCUGCAGUGGGGAAUAUUGCACAAUGGGGGAAACCCUGAUGCAGCGACGCCGCGUGAGUGAAGAAGUACUUCGGUAUGUAAAGCUCUAUCAGCAGGGAAGAAAAUGACGUUACUUGAUUAAGAAGCCCCGGCUAAAUACGUGCCAGCAGCCGCGGUAAUACGGAGGGGGCAAGCGUUAUCCGGAUUUACUGGGUGUAAAGGGAGUGUAGACGGCAGCACAAGUCUGAAGUGAAAUGCCGGGGCUUAACCCCGGAACUGCUUUGGAAACUGGGCAGCUUGAGUGCAGGAGAGGUAGGUGGAAUUCCUAGUGUAGCGGUGAAAUGCGUAGAUAUUAGGAGGAACACCGGUGGCGAAGGCGGCUUACUGGACUGUAACUGACGUUGAGGCUCGAAAGCGUGGGGAGCAAACAGGAUUAGAUACCCGUGUAGUC
rnacentral:rRNA from 1 species